rnacentral:rRNA from 1 species
AGAGCGAACGCUGGCGGCAUGCUUAACACAUGCAAGUCGCACGGUCAGGUUUCGGCCUGGUAGUGGCGGACGGGUGAGUAACGCGUAGGUAUCUAUCCGAAGGUGGGGGGAUAACGGCGGGAAACUGCUGCUAAUACCGCAUAUGACCUGAGGGUCAAAGGUCGCAAGACCGCCUGUGGAGGAGCCUGCGUACGAUUAGCUUGUUGGUGGGGUAAAGGCCUACCAAGGCGACGAUCGUUAGCUGGUCUGAGAGGAUGAUCAGCCACAUUGGGACUGAGACACGGCCCAAACUCCUACGGGGGGCAGCAGUGAGGAAUUUUCGUCAAUGGGGGCAACCCUGAACGAGCAACGCCGCGUGCAGGAAGAAGGUUUUUCGGAUCGUAAACUGCUUUUCUCGGGGAAGAGAACGGACGGUACCCGAGGAAUCAGCCCCGGCUAACUACGUGCCAGCAGCCGC